UGAGGCCCCCCCUGAGGGGAUGAGGGACCAUGGUAAGUGCAGUUUUGGGCUGAAGGUGCCUUUCUUUUGGAAGUCACACUGGAGUCUUCAAAGCUGAAAACAGACAGGGUGAGGCUGGUGAGAGGAGAAUGGAUGUUGACUGGUUAGAGCUGGUUUCAGGUGCAGUUCACCUGGGGCGAUGAGUCCUUCUGCACUGCCCGGCCCAGCUGGCCAGUAAUACGGACUAGGACCAAGGCCAGGAUUAUAUGAAAGUCAGUGGGUAGGGCCUCCCGGCUGACAUAGCCCUUAGGAAGCCCAGCAAAGCACCGGGCCUUGGCAUUGGGCCUCCCUGAGGGGCCAAGAGAGCCCCCGAUACAUGGAGGGAGCAAUGGUCCGGGGGGCUUCCUUUCCAGAGCCCCCACUGUGUCCCCGGUCACUUUGAGAUAUUCUUCCUCCCGCUUGGCAGUUUGUCCAGUUCUAAAAUAAGACACUGGAAGAUUUCCUUUGGUACUGAUUUCCCAAACUUUAAUCAUUCCUGUACGAUUUUUUUUUAACCUGUCUCGUGAUCUCUAUAAAAUACCUGCCCUGACAUUUACUUCACAAUUCCUUAAAAUCGACUCAUUUUACCAGCACCCACUUUAGUUUAAAUCUAAGCAGUCGAUGCCCACAACGUCAGCGUGUGCGUGUCUUUUCUCACACACAGCACAAUAGGUCGGUGACUCACACGUUGUAAAGGACAUUCUUCUGUGAGUCACCCUACAUCACCAAGUGUGAACGCAAGGCCUCCUUGGGUCACCUUUCAGGAUGCUCUGGGAAGAAAGGGGCACCCUCCCAAUGCAGUGGGGACGAGGGACACGGCAUGGGCAGGGAUGCUGGAGCUCCAGCCCCAUGGGCGGCCUCCAUCUUGGUUUGGGCUCCGUCUCAGCACGGCCAUCUGCUCUGAAUGAGCAGCCUUUUGUGAAAAGCUGUGGGGGGAUCAGCCUGGCUGAUUGGCUGGAGCUGUGCCCAGAAUGCCCAGAUGUACAUUUGCCCCAAAAGACGGGGCACAGCUGGGGUUCACGGUCUCCCCGGAGGUUGGGUUUUCCUGGUGCAGCCCAACCCUGCCUCCCACUCUCCCGCAGUGCGGUGGGAGAGGGCCCAGAGCGGCCCCGAGAGCUCCCUCACCGCCGGCAGCCUGCCAUUUGCAGCCACUGGGGACAGGAGAUUGCUUCCAUGGAAACAGAACCAGGGAUUGUAUUUCCAGAAACGUCUCAAUCUAAUUUGUGUGGAGCUGGGUUGUGUGUGUGGGUGUCUGUGUGCUCCUGUGUGGUGUGUUUCUGUCACAGAAGGUGGGGGGUGAGGAGCGGGAAGAGAGAAUUUGCAUAGAACCCCCAUUUCCCUUGAUUCCCAGGGACUCGAUUAUUUCAGGAAGGGAGAAGUAGAGACGGGAGAAGAGAGGUCUCCCCCAGCCUCCUUCCCGCCCAGCUCAGGAGAGAGGGAUGCAGAACCUUGGCCAUAGAGCGAAUGACGCCUGCCGACUCUCCUUCUCCUUUCCUAUUAUGACAAUGACUUUGGGUUUGACCAGCGCGUAAAGGGUUAGAGUUCCUUUCAGAAUCAGAGAGAUUUGGACCUUGUCACAGUGCCAACCCCUUUUCAUUCUGGAUCAUCACAAUAUCCUCAAAGAGAAACGCAUCGCCAGUGGCCCUGAUACCGCCUCACAGGAAUUUCAGCAUAUCCCCACGCGUCUCUGGAGACCCUAGGGACGGCGCUGGGCCCCAGACUCCAGCUAUCACCGUGUAACAUCAUCCAUCCUGCAAUCCCAGCUCCAUCGAGCUGCCUGCUUGUAUCCUGUCUGCGCUCCCCGUUGGCACUGCCCGCCUGGCGCUCACCCAGGCUGGUCUGACACUUGCUGCUGAGGCUGGGGAGCGACCCAGGCAGGCUUCCAAUUCUCUCAUGAGCUGGGUGCUGCCUGCAGCCAGCUCACUGUGAAGCCCUGUUCUAGAGGCUUCAGAGGACCCCAGCUUGGUGGGGCGGGGCGCGGAGCCAUGGGAAGUGCAUAAGCAAAGAGCUCUGUCGAGAGAGAGUAAAUCAGCUCCUGGCAUCCUGUCCUGCUGAUAGAAGCUCUCGAUCCUUUCUUCCCCUCUCAAGUACCACUUAGGUCUCUGCUUGCUUCCUGCAAACAAUGGCACCGAAUGUUCAUUUGUUUGCUUGGAGCCCAGGGCUCCCCCCCCACUUCCAGAGGCUUCCAGUGCUCAGCUGUCCUCCUCCUUCAGAGGCCGGCCCCCCUUGGCUUUACUGUCUUCUGUGCUUAAUUGCAAAUUAUUGAUUUGAAGGGAAUUAAUUUUUAGCUCUUGCCAGAUUCAGUCGCUCCUGGGUUGGACUCCUCAGCAGGACACCCUGGGGAUCCCAGCUGGGGACCGGGGGGAGGGACCAUGGCUCAUCAGUAGCUGUGCUGGGCCGAGGCCACAUGUGUCGACUCACGGGCUGAUCAGUGCUGGGGCUGAGAUGCUCUCGCCAGUGUGCUGUUUCCACAGAGAGGAAACUGAGGCCGGGAGGUGGCCAAAGCGUCAAGCCAGAGUGGAGCGCCGACUCCCAGCCGGGCGCCGGUAUGGCAGCAAUUCCUUGACACAUGAAGACUCGUCUAAUCCUGGAGAGAAAGCCUAAGAGGGAGCGGUUUUGUCCCAGUGUGUGUACGACUGAGUCCUUGGGGUGAUGCUGCAGCCCGUGCACCCCCCCAGGAGAUGCUGAUGUCGCGGUCCAAGACCACACACUGAGAAGCAGGGUCAGCACAGGGUCCUUGGCUUGGCCAGCACACGGUGAUCAGGGGGUUUUCCAAGUUACCGAUGUUUGGGGACAAUCUCCAGAAAUUCUGAUGCAAUUGUUGUGAAGCUCCCUGGACAAUGGGAGUUUUAAGACAUUCCUAGGACGCUCUUACCUUCGGCACGUCACUUUCAUGAAGGAAUACCUUCCAACGGAGCCCGAAAUAAUAUUUUUUUUUUUCCUGAGCACCUGUUUUAUUUAAUUUUUUUUUCCUGAGCACCUAUUUAAAAUGAAAUAAAUAAUUACGUGCAUUGCCAAAAUCUAUGUAUCACAAAACCCGUACGAGACAGGUGAUGCUCUUAAUCCCUGGGAGGGGUGGGUUGAUUCCGGCCCCUCGUUUUCAAUCAGGGUUGGCACCGCUGUGUCCACUCU